UCUGGGUGUGGUGGUGCACGCCUGUAGUCCCAGCUACUUGGGAGGCGAGGUGGGAGGAUCAUUUGAGCCUAGGAGGGUGAGGCUGCAGUGAGCUGUGAUUACACCACUGCACUCUGGCCUGGGCAACAGAGGGAGACCCUAUCUCAA
ensembl:misc_RNA Metazoa_SRP Metazoan signal recognition particle RNA